UGGGGAAUAUUGCACAAUGGGGGAAACCCUGAUGCAGCGACGCCGCGUGAACGAAGAAGGUAUUCGUAUCGUAAAGUUCUGUCCUAUGGAAGAUAAUGACAGUACCAUAGAAGAAAGCUCCGGCUAAAUACGUGCCAGCAGCCGCGGUAAUACGUAUGGAGCGAGCGUUGUCCGGAAUUAUUGGGCGUAAAGGGUACGCAGGCGGUUUAAUAAGUCGAAUGUUAAAGAUCGGGGCUCAACCCCGCAAAGCAUUGGAAACUGAUAAACUUGAGUAGUGGAGAGGAAAGUGGAAUUCCUAGUGUAGUGGUGAAAUACGUAGAUAUUAGGAGGAAUACCAGUAGCGAAGGCGACUUUCUGGACACAAACUGACGCUGAGGUACGAAAGCGUGGGGAGCAAACAGG
rnacentral:rRNA from 1 species